GAUGAAGAACGUAGCGAAAUGCGAUAAGUAGUGUGAAUUGCAGAAUUCAGUGAAUCAUCGAAUCUUUGAACGCACAUUGCGGCCAUAGGUAUUCCUUUGGCCAUGCCUGUUCGAGCGUCAUUUACACCCUCAAGCCUAGCUUGGUGUUGGGCGUCUGUCCCGCCGUUCUCGCGCGCGGACUCGCCUCAAAGUCAUUGGCGGCGGUCGUGCCGGCCCCCUCGCGCAGCACAUUUGCGCUUCUCGGAGGCCCGGCGGAGCCGCGCUCCAGCAAGACCUUUCACGACUUGACCUCGGAUCAGGUAGGGAUACCCGCUGAACUUAAGCAUAUCAAUAAGCGGAGGA
rnacentral:misc_RNA from 1 species